rnacentral:tRNA from 1 species
GCUCAAUAAGUUUAAUAUUUUAUAAAAUGUUGAUUUGUGGAAUCAGAGAUUUUUUUUGAAAUUGGGCU